UGAGAACUGCACUUAACAUACCAUUUAAUUUGUCAGAAUGAAGCUUACAAUCAUUCUUGUGUUGUUCGGUUGCGUUGCCGUAAUUAAAUCACAAGACGACUGCCAAUAUACACCAUGCGUAGGUCUCCUAUACAAUGGACAGGUGGCAUGCCAGCAAUAUGGAAUGGGCUAUUAUACCGGACGCACUAAGAAAGAUAAUUGUGGAUGGGACUAGCAAUUCCAAGACCUGGAUGCAAGUGGACAGCAGGUUGUUACGGAUCAAUCAGACAUCAUAUAAGCGAAUGUCACAGAGAGUACGGAAGUGGCUGGAUGAAACCGGGCAGAAAAAUGAGAUGUUCGAUGAACCAAUAUAAAAAAUUCGAAUGUUGUCAAUAAAGCGAUAAAUGGAACAGAUUUCUGGACUCAACAUCUUGUAUUUUAUGUUUGAAUAAACCUCUUAAUUGAAAAA